GCACACAUGCAUGCACACGCACACAUGCACGCACACAUGCACACGUGCGUGCACACACACACACACACACGAUUGGUUCAGUAUGGAUCAACUCUGUAAGCUGGUAACUAAGACAAAGCUCUGAAGAAAUCCUAAGUGAGCAUCUAGGGAGGAAAACCU